CUAUUGUUGCUUAAUCAAUCGCAUGCUACUAAAAUGUGAGCCUUAUAAAAGCUACUCGACGUAAGAUACGCAAUUUAAACUUUUGAACCAGCUUACAAAAGCAAGUAAUGACUAUAAAAGGAUCAAUGUAUUUUGAUUUUCAUAACCGAAACAAACCACCUAAUACACGGUAUUGGAAGUAAAGGGGAGGAGAGACUAAAAAGAUAAAAACCCUGCAAAAAACAUGACAUGCCGGAAACCAAAAUUUUUAAAAAAAGAAAAAAAAGAAUAAAGAAAGAAGGCUUUUGGGUAGGAGUAUAUACAACGAUUAGAGCAUAAAGAGGAAACAUGGUAGAAAAACCCACUUAAUAAAAUAAACCUUAUCCUUCCGAAAAAUUUUAAAUAGCAUCGACAUCAAACUCAAAGUCAAGAUCAUCCUCUCCUUCAGCGCCAAA